AAGGACAAGAUAAAGAGCGGAGCCAGAGGGAUGAGAUAAGAAACAACUCCGGAUACUCCCAGUAACAACCCAAAAUAAUGCUGAUUGGGAGCAACCUUGACUAUCUCAUGACUAACAGCUCCGGUGUGACACACCAAGGUCCAUAGACUUGUAUGGGAACUUACUACUAUAAAAGGAGGGUGUAUUGCUCAUGGGACUUUGGGUUUGUUCUGCAUCAACAUCGGAGCUUCGGACGCGUCUGACAGAGACUCAGCUCCAGCUCCUCCCCUCCCUCGUGUGCAAUUUCAACUGGCCACUGGAACGGACCGAGCAACACUAAGGACUGGACAGUGACUGCAGAGCACGAACCCAAACACCUCCAUCUCGGUGACUUCUCCCUGCUUCGCAACACACCUCUCAUACACACUCCCGAAAGCCUGGGUAGGGGGGAUUUAUUUUCCCUUGUGAAGCUCUGAACCCCCGCCUCCCCCCGAUGAAGCUGGAGUGAGAGGUGGCACCUGUGAAAACCAAAGGGUCAAUUUGGAGGGAGAUGAUGAAGUUAUGAGGUGGACUGGCUCCACCCAGAAUCUCUAUGGUUCCAGCCCAUGUUACUUAUUAAAAGAAAUAUGACUCAA